rnacentral:rRNA from 1 species
GAUGAACGCUGGCGGCGUGCCUAAUACAUGCAAGUCGAGCGAACGGACGAGAAGCUUGCUUCUCUGAUGUUAGCGGCGGACGGGUGAGUAACACGUGGAUAACCUACCUAUAAGACUGGGAUAACUUCGGGAAACCGGAGCUACUACCGGAUAAUAUUUUGAACCGCAUGGUUCAAAAGUGAAAGACGGUCUUGCUGUCACUUAUAGAUGGAUCCGCGCUGCAUUAGCUAGUUGGUAAGGUAACGGCUUACCAAGGCAACGAUGCAUAGCCGACCUGAGAGGGUGAUCGGCCACACUGGAACUGAGACACGGUCCAGACUCCUACGGGAGGCAGCAGUAGGGAAUCUUCCGCAAUGGGCGAAAGCCUGACGGAGCAACGCCGCGUGAGUGAUGAAGGUCUUCGGAUCGUAAAACUCUGUUAUUAGGGAAGAACAUAUGUGUAUGUAACUGUGCACAUCUUGACGGUACCUAAUCAGAAAGCCACGGCUAACUACGUG